GAGGAAGAGAGAAACGUGGUUUUUGUUUCAUAAUUGAGGAAAAGCAAGGCUAUACUGAGGUCACAGAGCAUGUGGGUAGAGCCAGGAGUUAUGAGGCUUGUCUGGCCUCAAAGCUCCAUUAGCUUCCCCAGUGCCUCCCUCCUGUUCCAGACGGGGCCACGGCGAGGAAAUUGCCAGCGGAUGAGAACCAUGAUUCAUUUCUGCAUCCACGAUGGGCCAGCAGCUACACCCAGGUACCGUGAAGCCAGUUGUGAAAGUGUGGGCUGGGCAGGCUCUGGCCCAAUAUGGUUUAUUGGCAGAGGUUGGCAGGGCAGGGUUAUCAUAUUAUCAUAUCUACUUUACAGAUGAGGAAGUUGCAACCGGAGAGGAGUCGGAAAGUUGCCCAAGGUCAUCCCUGAGUUAAAGGAAGAGCAGGAACCUGAAUGCAAGACACGCGGGGACCCUGUGUGGUGUAAGAGGAAGGAGGCUGUGGCAGGGCUGGGACUGCUGGGCCUGGGCUGGCAGCUUUAUGGACACUUUCUGCCUCCUGAACUUCCCCCGCGCUGGCCAUCACAUACACACUCACACAGCAGCGCAGCAGCGUCCACAUUCUGUGUUGGAAGAAGGGUCUUUGGGCUGCUUAGAAAUGAAGUUUGGAGUGGCCUGCGGUGCAGCAGAAAAAGACGAGCCCCAGAGAAUCGGCGGUCCCUGCCUGAGAGAGAAAGAAGCCAGCCCUCUUUCUGAGGACACCAGAUUCCACAAACACCACCGCGUGUCCCUCGACUUCGCCAUCCCACCGAGGCCAUCUCCACUCCUCGGGCCCUCAACCCCAGGCCAUCCCAAGGCUCCGGCCGGCUGCUUCCGAGGCGAGAGGACUGCGCAGGGGUCCGCGCCAAAAUGAUCCAAGGCAGGAAUCCGGGGCUCCCACCCUUAUGCGGAUCAAGUACCUUGCCGAGUCGCUCCCCUGGUCCCAGAGCUGAGACCAGG
rnacentral:lncRNA from 1 species